CCAACCUUAGCUCAGUUGGUAGAGUGGAGGAUUGUAGAUUCUUAGGUCGUUGGUUCGAAUCUGACAUGUCGGA
rnacentral:tRNA from 1 species